rnacentral:rRNA from 1 species
UACAGAGGUCCCAAGCGUUGUUCGGAUUCAUUGGGCGUAAAGGGUGUGUAGGUGGCGCCGUAAGUCGGGUGUGAAAUCUCGGGGCUUAACUCCGAAACUGCAUUCGAUACUGCGGUGCUUGAGGACUGGAGAGGAGACUGGAAUUCAUGGUGUAGCAGUGAAAUGCGUAGAGAUCAAUGAGGAAGACCAGUGGCGAAGGCGGGUCUCUGGACAGUUCCUGACACUGAGGCACGAAGGCCAGGGGAGCAAACGGG